GCAACAAUGGUUUAAAUGGUAAAACAUAGGCAAAUCUAAAAGUUGCCUAUAUGUAAGUUCAAAUCUUACUUGUUGAG
rnacentral:tRNA from 1 species